CGAGCAGCAAGUUCCGCUCUGAGACUGAGCAGUCUUGAAGGUUUCUGUGUGAUGUACUCUGAACUCUGCUACUGGGUACUGUGAGGGACGCUCUGAAGUCGCGACAUGGAUGCAGUGACCUACGAUGAAGUGCAUGUGAACUUCACUCAGGAAGAGUGGGCUUUGCUGGAUCAUUCCCAGAAAAGUCUCUACAGAGAUGUGAUGCUGGAGACUUACAAGAACCUGACUGCUAUAGGU
rnacentral:lncRNA from 1 species